rnacentral:rRNA from 1 species
AAAUGAAUAGACGGGGGCCCGCACAAGCGGUGGAGCAUGUGGCUCAAUUCGAUGCAACGCGAAGAACCUUACCAGGCCUUGACAUGCACUAGAUCGACUCUGAAAGGAGUCUUCCCUUCGGGGCUGGUGCACAGGUGCUGCAUGGCUGUCGUCAGCUCGUGUCGUGAGAUGUUGCGUUAAGUCGCGCAACGAGCGCAACCCCUGUCCUUAGUUGCCAUCAUUAAGUUGGGCACUCUAGGGAGACAAACCCUCUAUGAGGGUGGGAAGGUGGGGAUGACGUCAAGUCAGGAUGGCCCUUACGGCCUGGGCUGCACACGUGCUACAAUGCCCGAUACAGAGGGAAGCAAUACCGCGAGGUGGAGCAAAUCCUGAAAAUCGGGCCCAGUUCAGAUUGUAGUCUGCAACUCGACUACAUGAAGUUGGAAUCGCUAGUAAUGGCGCAUCAGCUACGGCGCCGUGAAUACGUUCCCGGGCCUUGUACACACCGCCCGU